rnacentral:rRNA from 1 species
UACGUAGGGGGCAAGCGUUGUCCGGAAUGAUUGGGCGUAAAGGGCGCGUAGGCGGCCCCUUAAGUCUGGAGUGAAAGUCCUGUUUUUAAGAUGGGAAUUGCUUUGGAUACUGGGGGGCUUGAGUGCAGGAGAGGUAAGUGGAAUUCCCAGUGUAGCGGUGAAAUGCGUAGAGAUUGGGAGGAACACCAGUGGCGAAGGCGACUUACUGGACCGUAACUGACGCUGAGGCGCGAAAGUGUGGGGAGCAAAC